rnacentral:miRNA from 1 species
UCAACGUUUCUCCUCUUGUCC